GUGACAGGUCUCUAAGCUGGGACUCUCAGCUGACAUCGUUCUGUAUCUCUGAAUUGCUUUGUCAUUACGGAGGAAGUAGGAUUCGCCUCUGUCUUCUCUGUUGUAGCAAGCAGUAAGACGGCAUCCCUGCAAGAGAGUUUUCUUAUUUACCCAAGGAACCCCCGCAGUGUCGCGAUGUUCUGUGAGGGCUACUCAGACGCCCGAGGAAGGCACCACUCCGGUUUCCACUGCCCCCGUCUUUCCGAUUUCCCGGAUCUGUCCUACUGCUGUUGGCAAGGAGACGACCUCAAACAAUGCUGCAACCGAUCGCAAUAUCACAGCAUUAUGAACUCCAGAAUGUUGCAGAACAAAUCCACGGGCUUUGGUCACAGUAGCUGACCAGUCUGUCUGCUGGUGGUCCUCCUCUAUGGGGCCCUUGUGAUGGUCCUGAUGGUGGUGGAUCUUCUGUGGUUCUGUCACACCCGAGGGCUCCCUGUGGAAGCCAGCGCACUUACAAAGUACCACACCUGCCCCCGGUGGUUGGCCGGCCUCCUGGUCCCUAAAGGCAACCAGGCACGUCUCUGUCAUAGCAACAGGAACUUAACUCUACUUCAGCACGAGGUCCCUCGGGAGUCUCCACAUCUCCACGGCAACUGGACCAACACAGCGUCUUGCAGUCACCGCAGUACUCAAAAGACUGAGCUUUCAAUUUCAUUCAGGGACAAGUUAUAAGACGGCUUAUUGUCUCCCCAGCUACCUUUGCCAGGGACCACACUGAGUGGAACUCACAGUCAAGGUGUAACUGAGAGCAGCAUUUUUCAAGUCCUCACACCUUAUGUCUUGUGUCAUAGACAGUAAAUUGUUUUUAUGGAUGGAUGUUUUUCAGCACACCAUUUUUUUCCAGAUAGGCUGCAAUUACUACAUUUCCUUGGUUGGAAUGAAUAACUUCCAUCUUCUUUUUCGUAAAGCUUAAAUCCAAACCUUGUGUUUAUAAGUAGUUUUAGUGGAAAAACUGAUGACUACAAUGUGCAUUGUAAAGUUAAGUGUUUAUGGAGUCACUAAAUAUCUCAGUCAGUCACAAACAUCCAAGGUAAAUUAUCAGAUUGUCUCACAGCUGUGAGGUAAUUUUUCACUCUUCUGCAAUCGCACAAACAUGCACAGUAUGACAAACCCAUUCACACACUGGCAGGCUGAGUAAAACUGACUCUCAACAACUUUUCGAUGUAAACUGUAAAAGUAGCAAACAUGUGCUUUAGUGCAUCUGCUUACUCUCUCUGGAUUUUUUUUAAUCAUCAUAGCACAGAGUUUUUAUCUCAAAACCAGCUCCAUUAACAUAAUUUGAUAAUGCAAACAAUUAGUGUGCAGAUGGGUGAGAUGUGCCCAUGAACAGAGCAUGUUACCUUCAACUGGGUUUGGUUGGGAGUGGUUGUUGUUUAUGACAGAUACAGCCCCCACCCCAGAAUUACUGUAUGUCUGGCAUGUGUAUCAGAUGGUGUUUCUACGACUUAAGUCUACAGCUCCUCAUUGUCAAAUCAAGAAUGACACCAUUUGAAAGUAACUGUUCAGUGCAAUUUGAUUACUUUGAAACGUAGCUGAUGGAAAACACUUAAUAAAGGUAUCAUAGAAGGAACUAGAUGUUUCUCAUAACAUUACAGAGUGCCUGGUUUUCUACGUUCUUUAAAUAAGGAUGAACUGAUGCAGGGGUCAUUGCAGGUUAGGAUCCAGCUGACAAACAUUUUUGCACAAGGUACUGCAGGUUACCAGUACAGCAGUAGGACAAGUUUACUUCUCCUGAAUGCCAAACAGCUUUUAAACAUAACUCAGAGUAUUUUAAUUUCUCAUGAUUUUCACAUCUUGCUCCACCGUUCCAGUCCUUCUGCCCCAAGAGUUGAUGGUGCUGAUGUAUGAAAACGGGCCAGGAAACGACACCAAGGGAGACACUACAUUUAUUUUAUGCCUACACUAAACUGUCCAAUCGCUAAUUUUUCUUCUGCAUUUCCAGAAUGUUCCGAGAGCCAUUUCAUAAUGCUUCAUGGACAGACAGCCCAUAGCAUGACUAGGGUGGAUGAAUGCA